rnacentral:rRNA from 1 species
AUUGAACGCUGGCGGCAGGCCUAACACAUGCAAGUCGAGCGGUAGCACAGAGAGCUUGCUCUCGGGUGACGAGCGGCGGACGGGUGAGUAAUGUCUGGGAAACUGCCUGAUGGAGGGGGAUAACUACUGGAAACGGUAGCUAAUACCGCAUAAUGUCGCAAGACCAAAGUGGGGGACCUUCGGGCCUCAUGCCAUCAGAUGUGCCCAGAUGGGAUUAGCUAGUAGGUGGGGUAACGGCUCACCUAGGCGACGAUCCCUAGCUGGUCUGAGAGGAUGACCAGCCACACUGGAACUGAGACACGGUCCAGACUCCUACGGGAGGCAGCAGUGGGGAAUAUUGCACAAUGGGCGCAAGCCUGAUGCAGCCAUGCCGCGUGUGUGAAGAAGGCCUUCGGGUUGUAAAGCACUUUCAGCGGGGAGGAAGGCGGUGAGGUUAAUAACCUCAUCGAUUGACGUUACCCGCAGAAGAAGCACCGGCUAACUCCGUGCCAGCAGCCGCGGUAAUACGGAGGGUGCAAGCGUUAAUCGGAAUUACUGGGCGUAAAGCGCACGCAGGCGGUCUGUCAAGUCGGAUGUGAAAUCCCCGGGCUCAACCUGGGAACUGCAUUCGAAACUGGCAGGCUAGAGUCUUGUAGAGGGGGGUAGAAUUCCAGGUGUAGCGGUGAAAUGCGUAGAGAUCUGGAGGAAUACCGGUGGCGAAGGCGGCCCCCUGGACAAAGACUGACGCUCAGGUGCGAAAGCGUGGGGAGCAAACAGGAUUAGAUACCCUGGUAGUCCACGCCGUAAACGAUGUCGAUUUGGAGGUUGUGCCCUUGAGGCGUGGCUUCCGGAGCUAACGCGUUAAAUCGACCGCCUGGGGAGUACGGCCGCAAGGUUAAAACUCAAAUGAAUUGACGGGGGCCCGCACAAGCGGUGGAGCAUGUGGUUUAAUUCGAUGCAACGCGAAGAACCUUACCUGGUCUUGACAUCCACAGAACUUUCCAGAGAUGGAUUGGUGCCUUCGGGAACUGUGAGACAGGUGCUGCAUGGCUGUCGUCAGCUCGUGUUGUGAAAUGUUGGGUUAAGUCCCGCAACGAGCGCAACCCUUAUCCUUUGUUGCCAGCGGUUAGGCCGGGAACUCAAAGGAGACUGCCAGUGAUAAACUGGAGGAAGGUGGGGAUGACGUCAAGUCAUCAUGGCCCUUACGACCAGGGCUACACACGUGCUACAAUGGCAUAUACAAAGAGAAGCGACCUCGCGAGAGCAAGCGGACCUCAUAAAGUAUGUCGUAGUCCGGAUUGGAGUCUGUAACUCGACUCCAUGAAGUCGGAAUCGCUAGUAAUCGUAGAUCAGAAUGCUACGGUGAAUACGUUCCCGGGCCU